AAGUAGAUUGUAGAAAAGCUCAAGGAGUCUCAAAUUUUUCAACUUCCCAAGUUCUUUAGGCACCUUACCAGCAAGACGAUUCGCGCUCAAUUCAAGAUCAACAAGAGAUGUCAUGUUACUUAUCGUCACUGGAAUUGUCCCAUGCAUAUUACAAGCUGUUAAAAUCAUCCACUUGAGAUUUAUCAGCCUGGAAAUUUCCUCUGGUAAUCGCCACGGAUUAAAAUGGCGAUUUUCG
rnacentral:misc_RNA from 1 species